AUAUAUAUUAAUUUUUUUUAAUAAAUAUAUAAAAAUAGUUCUAAUAAACAAAAAAUAGUUUUAAUAAAUAAAAAUUGUUUAAUAAUUACAAAAAAAAUAGUUUUAAUAAUAUAUAUAUAUAUGAAAAAUAUUUUUAAAUCCCAAAUAAUAGUAUUUAAUCACAAAAAAAGUUUUAUAGAUAUUUAAAAUGUUUUGUAAAAUCCAAAAAAUCGAAUUUAUAUAGAAAUUGUUUUUUGUAAAAUCCAAAAAAUCGAAUUUAUAUAGAAAAAUUAUUUUGUAAAAUACAAAAAUCGAUUUUAUAUACAAAAAUCGAUUUUAUAAAUACAAAAACUAAAAAAAUUAUAAAAAAAUUCUAAAUCAAUUCAACAAAACAAAUUAU
rnacentral:lncRNA from 1 species